GAUGAACGCUGGCGGCGUGCCUAAUACAUGCAAGUCGAGCGAACAGAUGAUGAGCUUGCUCCUCUGACGUUAGCGGCGGACGUGUGAGUAACACGUGUAUAACCUACCUAUAUGACUUGUAUAACUUCGUGAAACCGGAGCUAAUACCGGAUAAUAUAUUUAACCUCUUUGUUCAAUAGUUUAUGACGGUUUUUCUGUCACUUAUAGAUGGAUCCGCGCCGCAUUAGCUAGUUGUUAAGGUAACCGCUUACCAAGGCAACGAUGCGUAGCCGACCUGAGAGGGAGAUAGGACACACGGGAACUGAGAAACGGUCCAGAGGACUACGGGAGGCAGCAGAAGGGAAUAUGACGGAAUGGGGGAAAGGAUGACGGAGCAACGGCGCGUGAGGGAUGAAGGUCUUCGGAUCGUAAAACUCUGUUAGUAGGGAAGAAAAAAUGUGUAAGUAACUAUGCACGUAUUGACGGUAACUAAUCAGAAAGCAACGGCUAACUACGUG
rnacentral:rRNA from 1 species